AACGAACGCUGGCGGCAUGCCUAACACAUGCAAGUCGAACGAGACCUUCGGGUCUAGUGGCGCACGGGUGCGUAACGCGUGGGAACCUUCCCUUAGGUUCGGAAUAACUCCCCGACAGGGGUGCUAAUACCGGAUAAUGUCUUCGGACCAAAGAUUUAUCGCCUUUGGAUGGGCCCGCGUUGGAUUAGCUAGUUGGUAGGGUAAAAGCCUACCAAGGCGACGAUCCAUAGCUGGUCUGAGAGGAUGAUCAGCCACACUGGGACUGAGACACGGCCCAGACUCCUACGGGAGGCAGCAGUGGGGAAUAUUGGACAAUGGGCGAAAGCCUGAUCCAGCAAUGCCGCGUGAGUGAUGAAGGCCUUAGGGUUGUAAAGCUCUUUUACCCGGGAUGAUAAUGACAGUACCGGGAGAAUAAGCUCCGGCUAACUCCGUG
rnacentral:rRNA from 1 species